CUACGGGUGGCUGCAGUGGGGAAUUUUGCGCAAUGGGGGAAACCCUGACGCAGCAAUACCGCGUGAGUGAAGAAGGCCUUUGGGUCGUAAAGCUCUUUUCUUGGGGAAGAUAGUGACGGUACCCAAGGAAUAAGCACCGGCUAACUCCGUGCCAGCAGCCGCGGUAAUACGGAGGGUGCAAGCGUUGUUCGGAUUUACUGGGCGUAAAGGGCACGUAGGCGGCACAGCAAGUUAAGGGUGAAAUCCCGGGGCUCAACUCUGGAACUGCUCUUAAAACUGCUGAGCUAGAGAUAGUCAGAGGCGGGUGGAAUUCCAGGUGUAGAGGUGAAAUUCGUAGAUAUCUGGAGGAACACCGGUGGCGAAGGCGGCCCGCUGGGGCUAUUCUGACGCUAAGGUGCGAAAGCGUGGGGAGCAAACGGGAUUAGAUACCCUCGUAGUC
rnacentral:rRNA from 1 species